rnacentral:rRNA from 1 species
AUUGAACGCUGGCGGCAGGCCUAACACAUGCAAGUCGAGCGAGCGGCGGACGGGUGAGUAAUGUCUGGGAAACUGCCUGAUGGAGGGGGAUAACAACUGGAAACGGUGGCUAAUACAGCAUACCAUCAGAUGUGCCCCGAUGGGAUUGGCUAGUAGGUGGGGGAACGGCUCACUUAGGCGACGAUCCCUAGCUGGUCUGAGAGGGUGACCAGCCACACUGGAACUGAGACACGGUCCAGACUCCGACGGGAGGCAGCAGUGGGGAAUAUUGCACAAUGGGCGCAAGCCUGAUGCAGCCAUGCCGCGUGUGUGAAGAAGGCCUUCGGGUUGUAAAGCACUUUCAGCGGGGAGGCGUUACCCGCAGAAGAAGCACCGGCUAACUCCGUGCCAGCCGCCGCGGUAAUAC